CACGUAGGGCGCAAGCGUUGUCCGGAAUUAUUGGGCGUAAAGAGCUCGUAGGCGGUUUGUCGCGUCUGCUGUGAAAACUGGAGGCUCAACCUCCAGCCUGCAGUGGGUACGGGCAGACUAGAGUGCGGUAGGGGAGAUUGGAAUUCCUGGUGUAGCGGUGGAAUGCGCAGAUAUCAGGAGGAACACCGAUGGCGAAGGCAGAUCUCUGGGCCGUAACUGACGCUGAGGAGCGAAAGCCAGGGGAGCAAACGGG
rnacentral:rRNA from 1 species